UACGUAGGGUGCAAGCGUUAAUCGGAAUUACUGGGCGUAAAGCGUGCGUAGACGGUUACGUAAGUCGGGUGUGAAAGCCCCGGACUCAACCUGGGAAUUGCAUUCGAGACUGUGUAGCUAGGGUGCGGAAGAGGGAAGCGGAAUUUCCGGUGUAGCGGUGAAAUGCGUAGAUAUCGGAAGGAACAUCAGUGGCGAAAGCGGCUUCCUGGUCCAGCACCGACGUCAGGCACGAAAGCGUGGGAGCAAACAGGGA
rnacentral:rRNA from 1 species